GAAAAGCAUGGGUGGAUUCUUCCCGCCUCGAUCGGAUGGGGUCAAGUCGGAUCGGAUGUCGUAGAUGAGGCACACGUUUUGAUUUGAUAACACUUCACUGCAAAGGAAAGAUCAAGACGAAGUGGGAUCUAUGCAAGCUAGGGUCUCCUUACCGACGAAACGAAUCGGGUCCAGAUGGCACGCCAACCAGGUAGAGAUGGAGGCGAGGAAGCCUGAGUUUCUUCACUUGGAGUUGGAGGUAACGGGACUGCUUUGGCGAGAAGGCGCUCUCGUGACACCGGGGAAGGGGAAGACAACCUUCGAGGUGACGUUUAUGCGGGGGUCUUCGACGGUCAGGUGGGUUUGGGACGAGGCGAAGGAGGGAUGGCGAUUGGCGAGUGCUAAUUUGCG
rnacentral:lncRNA from 1 species